UUAGGGGGUUAAAAGAGCACGUCCCUUCUAAGGAUGUGGUCAUUGGUUCGAAUCCAAUAGGGCGUGCCA
rnacentral:tRNA from 1 species